AAGUACACUAUCGAUGUAUAGAUUCACCCGCGAGAUGAUGUGACUGUUUCACCUAGGACGAGGACAUGGCAUUCUAUUACCAGUCAUCGCACAAAAUUAAUAUGAUGCCACGUCCUCAUCCUAGAUGGAACAACCACGUCAUCUCACGGGUGAAUCCAUUCAUCGAUAGGUGGUU
rfam:Oryza glumipatula chromosome 4, whole genome shotgun sequence.